rnacentral:rRNA from 1 species
UACGUAGGGUGCAAGCGUUAUCCGGAAUUAUUGGGCGUAAAGAGCUCGUAGGCGGUUUGUCGCGUCUGCUGUGAAAACUGGGGGCUCAACCCCCAGCCUGCAGUGGGUACGGGCAGACUAGAGUGCGGUAGGGGAGAUUGGAAUUCCUGGUGUAGCGGUGGAAUGCGCAGAUAUCAGGAGGAACACCGAUGGCGAAGGCAGAUCUCUGGGCCGUAACUGACGCCGAGGAGCGAAAGCAUGGGGAGACGAACGAGGCGAAUUGA